rnacentral:rRNA from 1 species
AACCAGCACCUCAAGUGGUCAGGAUGAUUAUUGGGCCUAAAGCAUCCGUAGCCUGCUCUGUAAGUUUUCGGUUAAAUCUGUAUGCUCAACAUACAGGCUGCCGGGAAUACUGCAGAGCUAGGGAGUGGGAGAGGUAGACGGUACUCGGGAGGAAGUGGUAAAAUGCUUUGAUCUCUCGAUGACCACCUGUGGCGAAGGCGGUCUACCAGAACACGUCCGACGGUGAGGGAUGAAAGCUGGGGGAGCAAACCGGAUUAGAAACCCGUGUAGUCC